rnacentral:rRNA from 1 species
GAUGAACGCUGGCGGCGUGCCUAAUACAUGCAAGUCGAGCGAACGGACGAGAAGCUUGCUUCUCUGAUGUUAGCGGCGGACGGGUGAGUAACACGUGGAUAACCUACCUAUAAGACUGGGAUAACUUCGUGAAACCGUAGCUAAUACCGGAUAAUAUUUUGAACCGCAUGGUUCAAAAGUGAAAGACGGUCUUGCUGUCACUUAUAGAUGGAUCCGCGCUGCAUUAUCUAGUUGGUAAGGUAACGGCUUACCAAGGCAACGAUGCAUAUCCGACCUGAGAGGGUGAUCGGCAACACUGGAACUGAGACACGGUCCAGACUCCUACGGGAGGCAGCAGUAGGGAAUAUUCCGCAAUGGGAGAAAGCAUGACGGAGCAAAGCCGCGUGAGUGAUGAAGGUCUUCGGAUCGUAAAACUCUGUUAUUAGGGAAGAACAUAUGUGUAAGUAACUGUGCACAUCUUGACGGUACCUAAUCAGAAAGCCACGGCUAACUACGUG